rnacentral:lncRNA from 1 species
AUGGGUGGUGGCCUUCCUCCUUCUGACAAGGCCACUAGGAGAUCGGAAGAGGGGCCUGUGGGAUCCAGGGAGGACAAGGUUGGGUCUGUCCAGGUCCUGGCAGUGGGUUCCUGCCCCUCUGCUUCUCCAAGGCCAGCCACAGCGUUGGAACCUGGGAUCCAAUCUAAGAACACAGCCAUAGUGUGUGACAUCCGUGGUCUUCUAGAACCUGGUUUCAUGCUCCCGAUCCAGGUUUGUCUCCUGCGGCUCCUCGACACAGAGGUGCUAUUUGAGCCCUGCCUGGUCUCUUCACUCCCCACUAAAACAGCAUUUACUUCUGCUUCUGUGCAUUCGCUCCAGCCAUUGUCUCUUGUCUGGGACCUUUCCCUCAGUAUUUCUCUGGCUUGGUUCCAGAGCCUCCUUCUCUUAGAAGCCUUCCUUGAUUAAGACCUGAGCCCUUGGAGCUCUGCCCCCCUUCUAAAACCAGACACCCACUGCCUCUCUGGGUCUCAUUUUCUCCUGCAAACACAUAAUGUCUCGAGUUAUUAAUUCACUUGCAUGUGAGGGGCAGGUGGUACAGUGGGGAAGGCCGGGUGUCUGUUACUCCUGGCCUUGAAUCGUGGUUCUGGCAGUUGGUAAUUUGCUCUCAUAGGAUUAGUACACUUAGCAGUCAUCUCCCAGAGCUGGUAAGGGACCUGUGAGUCUCAGUUUCUUCACCUGGAAAAUGGGAGUCCUAGCAAUUCCCCACAGACUUGUGGGGAUUAAAUCAAUUGUUGUAAGUGAAGGUGCAGGUGCUGGCAGGGGGUCUAGUGAGCAGUAGGUACAGCCCCUGCCCACUGCCUCCCUCCCCACCACCAGUUUCGAUCCUACCCUUUGCUCCCCAGUACCUCGAAUCUCCCACCUUGUAGUCCUUUCUUUGCACAUGCCUCUAAUUAAUGAUGUAUUGGUUGUACUGAUGUACCCGAUGUUUCUUUUGGGGGGCUUGCAGGCGAUGGGCUUAGUCUGAUACAUCCAUCACUGUCUCCCUGUGCUUAGCACAGAAUCUGGACAAGGAGGUGCUCAAGUAACAUUUGCUGACCGACUGACCAUCUGAAUGUAGAUUAGGGCCCCUCCACCAUUAGACCUAGAAUGCUCUGUUUUUUACUGCUUUGAAUCUCCAUGGAGCCUUGCAUAUGGUAGGUGUUCUGUAAGUGGCUCAUUAGAGAACAGUCCUUGGCUGAACGUUUUGCCAUUCAGGAAUGAGUGACCACAGAAAGACUCUCCUGGGUGAUUCUAGGAACAGAAGAGGGGCCCCUUCUGUAGAAUGGCUGAGGGGGGGGGGUGAUCUGCGGCUUGAAGGCAGAGGGGCAGACCAAACAAAUCCCUCAGUGUCCCUUCUAAUCCUGGAGUUUACGGUCUGCAGAAGCCGGAAGCACUUUGUUCCAGAAUAUAUUAGCCCCAGAGAGAC